rnacentral:ribozyme from 1 species
UGCCCAGCAACUCUUAUCCCUACCUUCUCGCAGUACUGACCGGGGUACGAGCAACCUUAGGGAAGAUCGGAUAACCAACCACGGUGGGAUCUUUGGUCGUAUGCUGACAGGAAAG